rnacentral:rRNA from 1 species
UACGGGGGGAGCAAGCGUUGUUCGGAUUUACUGGGCGUAAAGGGCGCGUAGGCGGCCAGCACAAGUCAGUUGUGAAAUCUCCGAGCUUAACUCGGAAAGGUCAACUGAUACUGUGCGGCUAGAGUGCGGAAGGGGCAACUGGAAUUCUUGGUGUAGCGGUGAAAUGCGUAGAUAUCAAGAGGAACACCCGUAGCGAAGGCGGCACUCUGGGCCGGCACUGACGCUGAGGAGCGAAAGCGUGGGGAGCAAACAGG